GAUCUGUGCGCUCUCCCUCAUUCUUUUCAUGGAAAAUCAUAAGAAUAACAUGCUGAGGAUGUUCAGAGGGGAUAAAUCGUUCAUCGCUAAGAACAUAAGCGUGUCUCAGUUUAUGGUUGGAAAAGGACUUCGAUAUCAUAGUUUUCAGAUUGGAUACUUUUUGUGGGGCUUUCUUUUAAAUUGGAUUUUCAUAUUUAUCCCAUGUGCUCUUUUAUAUUCCUUGAAAUUUUCCUGGGUUCAGGAUUGGAUCCUC